rnacentral:rRNA from 1 species
GACGAACGCUGGCGGCGUGCCUAACACAUGCAAGUAGAACGGUAAGGGCGUGCCUUGGUGGGGUGCUUGAGUGGCGAACGGGUGAGUAACACGUAGGUAACCUGCCCUGUAGCGUGGGAUAACUAUAGGAAACGGUAGCUAAUACCGCAUAAGAGCACAUGUCGCAUGACAUGGGCUGGAAAGGUGCAGCGGCUGCGGAUGGACUCGCGGCUUCUCAGCUUGUUGGGGGGGUAGUGGCUUACGAAGGCUUUGACGGGUAGCCGGCCGGGGCGGGUGACCGGCCACAUUGGGACUGAGAUACGGCCCAGACUCCUACGGGAGGCAGCAGUGGGGAAUAUUGCACAAUGGGCGGAAGCCUGAUGCAGCAACGCCGCGUGCGGGAUGACGGCCUUCGGGUUGUAAACCGCUUUCGCCUGUUACGAAGCGUGAGUGACGGUAAUGGGUAAAGAAGCACCGGCUAACUACGUG